UUGAACUACAUUCUAUAAGGUCUAUAUAAUAAUCUGUUUGUAAUCUACAUAUAUUAGACAGUUUUGUACAUGUUCUGAAGUUAUUGAUUGGAGAUAAAGGAGAAAAGUACCUAGGUGAAAGGAAUUAGACACCUUUGUCUUAAAAUAGUGGCUCAUCUAAGGGUAGAGGUCACACUGCUGCAUAUUUAGCCUUUUUCUGUCUGCUUUUUGGGAAGCUGAAAUACGAGAGGGCAGUUGUUGUCGCUCACAGCAGCUCGCUCCAUGCCAACACAAACUGUGCUCCUCUUUCAACUAAACCCCACUUAGCAGUCCAAUAAUGCAUUUCCCCGGAGAGAGAUACGUGUGUGAACUCCCUUUCUGAAUGUCUCACAGUGUUAAGACUUAUCUCUGGUGGGUUAAAGACAUUCUGUAAAAGCAGUCUGGUGCUUUCAAUAAAUGCCCAGAUAACUUUUUCCUCCAUGUUACACAUAGCCCAGACUGCACAUUUCCGGUGGAGUUGAGAAAAAUACAGAGAGCAGCCAAACAGUAAAAUCUUCCUAGCCAGUAAUCUCAAAACAUAACAUAAUAUCCAACAUUUUUGGUUCACAGUUUUUUAUCCAUCCCACAGUUAUGCAUUAAGUUAAAAGCCAUGAGGUGGUCUAUAAAAGGAAAAUUAUUUCCCUUUGUUCAGUUUCAACUGGAGCUUUUUGUGGAUAUAAACUUAGACUGAGUGGACAAAACAUGACAUAAACUGACCCGGUAAAACCCGGUGAAAGCUAUGAUCACUUAUUGGGUUGUGCAACUCAGUAUUAGGAAGGUGUUCUUAAUGAUUUGUACACUUUGUGUAUAUUGUACUAACUCUAUGAAAACAUUCACAUUCCGAAGGGAUACUCUCACCAAACGGCAUCAUCCCUCACCACUACAUAACAUUCCCUUAUUUACCCAUUUUGGGUCAUAAUACUUAAUUUUAUGGUCUGAGUCAUUAUCUCCUUUCUGUUAGUGACUGGACAAUCAGACGCACAACACAGACUGCACCAUAUGCCUUACAAGUCUUGUGAGUGUUUGACAUAGCAGAAGAGCUGAGGAGAAGGCAUAUGCCUCUCAGUAGAAUGUACAGCAUUGCUGACUGGCCCUAUGAAAGAAGCUUGGCCAAGGGCAGGAAGGAAGUGAGGCAGAGACGGACAACAGAGCCCUGGGUGAGACUUCCUCACACACUGAAGGAGUGAGGGAAGAGAGAGAGACUACCCCAAAUGACAUGUAAAGAAGUUGACUAGCCACGUCAGAACCAGAUCAUUCUCUACUGAACCAAAGGCCCGAGUCAGGUUUAGGGUUGCCUGUACUCCUCUGGUGAUGUGAACUCUGACUCCAUGGAUCCAUUCUCUCUCUCAGUCUCUCUCUCUCUCUGUCCAGAAUGUGUAGGUCCGUUACCCCUCCUGUGCCCUCCAACGGCCGCUCAUGCCAUCUGCGCGGUGCCAUCUGGUUCACAGUGGAGACCAGGCACAACAGAACACAUUCAUCCUUUGCAGUGAGAAGAGCGAUUCCAGCCUGUGUGUGUGUGUGUGUGUGUGUGUGUGUGUGUGUGUGUGUGUGUGUGUGUGUGUGUGUGUGUGUGUGUGUGUGUGUGUGUGUGUGUGUGUGUGUGUGUGUGUGUGUGUGUGUGUGUGUGUGUGUGUGUGUGUGUAUGUGUCAUUAAACACACAGAAACCACUACAAAUGUCCUCUAGAUGUGUUUGGUUUGAUCAUAAUGGUAUCAUCAGAUACUAAUAAGAAGUCCACAUACGCAGUGUCCUGACUAUGUUUCUCAAACACUUGGUCUGUAAUGCAAACAUAUGCCAUUGUGACAAUUUCUGGUCUACAGUACCAUUGUACUCUCUCUCUCUCUUGGGGAUGCUGGGAAAGCAAUGAAUAAAAUACACUAAUUAAA